rnacentral:lncRNA from 1 species
UAAAGCAGUUUAUACGAAGAUUACUAGAACAACAUGGAGAGUUAUAGUUUCAAGUCAACAUCACUGUUUGUAAUUUUAGUACUAUGUAAGUCAUCAUUCUUCUAUCUCUUUUAUAUACAAAAGUUAUAAAAAUAUACAUAAUUCAUGAUACAACCAACUUUGCUAAUUUCUUUCUUUAUCGACUUAAAGGUCUACUGCAUAAUGUCAAGGCCCGAACAAGCCAAUCAGAAGAAUCAUUUUCGACAGAGACACGCUGCAAACGAGAUAUUGAAUGUAUGUCGUGUCCACAUGGUGGAUUCUGUGACAUGAAGACCGGAAAAUGUUCUUGCUUGCCAUUGUCAACACAGGCGCAGUGUGAGAGAGAUGUUGAUUGUAUGGGAGCGUGUCCACAUGGUGGAUU